rnacentral:sRNA from 1 species
UUCGAGUCGAGCGACAGCGAGACAACGUUGCCGCAGGCAACGGCCCGAAGGGUGAGGAGCGAAGCGACGAAUAAUCCUUCCCCCACCACCA